GUCCCCGGCUGCCGGGUCUUUGAGCUUGACUUAGCCGCACCCCUGCCAGACCCCAUCCCAACCUCACUGACGUGGCUGAGUGCCUUCAGGGACCCCAAGAAAGGGUGGUGGGCAUGCCCUAGGUUGGAGGGGCCCAUGUGGGGGACAAUGGGAGUGACAUAGGUCUCUGUGCCCCAGGAGGUAUUUGACCGGUUGGUUAAAUUAAGGGCUGAAACACGUAGCGGCCAUGAUCAAACUUGCUUUGUCCAGAAAGCACUCUUUGGCGGGAAGAAUGGGCUGGAGGUAUGAAGGUGGAUGUGGACGUCCUUGUCAGCGCUGGAUCUUCUGUUCCAGCUCAUAGGAACUCAGAGAUGCCAGGAGACCCCGGGAUUCCUGAAGAAUCUCAGAUCCCUGAUGCCACCAGACCAUCAGUCCAGAAGUGCUUGCAGCUGGCUCCCCGAGGCAGCAGCAGAUGGAGCAAGUGUUGCUGAUGGAUUAAAGAGAAAUCUGGUGUGUCCCCAGAAGAACCGAAAACAGGGUCUCAGAGAUGUUCGCGCACCCAUGUCCACAGCAGCAUGACUCACAACAGCCCGAGGUGGAGAUGACCCAAGUGUCUGCCAAUGAAUGAAUGGGUGAACAAGAUGUGGUAGAAUUCAGCCAGGGAAAGGAAUGAAAUUUUGGCAACUGUGACAAUGUGGACGAACCUCGAAAACGUGGUGAAAGGAGCCAGGUACAAACGGACAAAUACUGGAUUCCGUUUAUGUGAAGUGCCCGGAAGAGGCAGAUCCAGAGACACAGAGAGGAGAUGGGCGGGGGUCCGGGGCUGGGGGACGGGCACGGGAGUUGUUGCUCGAUGGGGACAGAGGUGCUGUUUGUUUAUGUUCCACCUUUUUUACACAAUAAAAAACAUUUCAAGAAAAAGAAAUGCACCAUGACGCAAUGAGGUUUCCUGGCUGUCCCCAGGAGCCAGUGUGUGGCCAGGGCAGCUGAGGAGAAGCCCCUGUCACCCCUGGGCCAGCCCCGCCCUGUGUCUGAGGUUCUGGGACGCAGGACGCACUCAUGCACUCAGCCACCUCCCGGGAAGCAGGACUGGGGGGCCUGGCUGGCUUGCUCUUGGUGGUGGUUGACGAGCGGGGUGCAGGGGACCAUCACUUUCGG
rnacentral:lncRNA from 1 species